rnacentral:rRNA from 1 species
UUCAGAGGUCCCGAGCGUUGUUCGGAUUUACUGGGCGUAAAGGGAGCGUAGGCGGUUCGGUAUGUCGAAUGUGAAAGCCCACAACUCAACUGUGGAAAUGCAUUCGAAACUGCCGGGCUAUAGUACUGGAGAGGAGAGCGGAAUUCUUGGUGUAGCGGUGAAAUGCGUAGAUAUCAAGAGGAACACCGGUGGCGAAGGCGGCUCUCUGGACAGAUACUGACGCUGAGGCUCUAAAGUUAGGGGGGCAAACAGGAUUAGAUACCCUGGUA